CAGCAGCCACGGUAAUACGUAGGGUGCAAGCGUUGUCCGGAAUUAUUGGGCGUAAAGGGCUCGCAGGCGGUUUCUUAAGUCUGAUGUGAAAGCCCCCGGCUCAACCGGGGAGGGUCAUUGGAAACUGGGAAACUUGAGUGCAGAAGAGGAGAGUGGAAUUCCACGUGUAGCGGUGAAAUGCGUAGAGAUGUGGAGGAACACCAGUGGCGAAGGCGACUCUCUGGUCUGUAACUGACGCUGAGGAGCGAAAGCGUGGGGAGCGAACAGGAUUAGAUACCCCAGUAGUCCCUGUCUCUUAUAC
rnacentral:rRNA from 1 species